rnacentral:rRNA from 1 species
CCUUCAAGCGGGGAUAGCCCAGGGAAACUGGAUUAAUACCCCAUAAGAUAGUUGAGUGGCAUCAAUUGACUAUUAAAGUUACGACACUUGAAGAUGGGCGUGCGGCUGAUUAGGUAGUGGCGGGGUAACGGCCCACCAAGCCGACGAUCAGUAACUGGUGUGAGAGCACGACCAGUCACACGGGCACUGAGACACGGGCCCGACUCCUACGGGAGGCAGCAGUAAGGAAUAUUGGUCAAUGGACGCAAGUCUGAACCAGCCAUGCCGCGUGGAGGAUGAAGGCCCUCUGGGUUGUAAACUUCUUUUAUUGGGGAAGAAAUCGGUGUUUUCUAAUGCCGUUGACGGUACCCGAUGAAUAAGCACCGGCUAACUCCGUGCCAGCAGCCGCGGUAAUACGGAGGGUGCAAGCGUUAUCCGGAUUCACUGGGUUUAAAGGGUGCGUAGGUGGGCAGGUAAGUCAGUGGUGAAAUCUCCGGGCUUAACCCGGAAACUGCCGUUGAUACUAUCUGUCUUGAAUGUAGUGGAGGUGAGCGGAAUAUGUCAUGUAGCGGUGAAAUGCUUAGAGAUGACAUAGAACACCAAUUGCGAAGGCAGCUUGCUACACUACGAUUGACACUGAGGCACGAAAGCGUGGGGAUCAAACAGGAUUAGAUACCCUGGUAGUCCACGCCCUAAACGAUGGAUACUCGACAUCAGCGAUACACAGUUGGUGUCUGAGCGAAAGCAUUAAGUAUCCCACCUGGGAAGUACGACCGCAAGGUUG